UACGUAGGGUGCAAGCGUUGUCCGGAAUUAUUGGGCGUAAAGAGCUCGUAGGCGGCUUGUCGCGUCGUCCGUGAAAACCCACAGCUCAACUGUGGGCUUGCGGUCGAUACGGGCAGGCUAGAGUUCGGUAGGGGAGACUGGAAUUCCUGGUGUAGCGGUGAAAUGCGCAGAUAUCAGGAGGAACACCUGCGGUGUAGACGGCUUACUGGACCGUAACUGACGCUGAGGCACGAAAGCGUGGGUAGCAAACAGG
rnacentral:rRNA from 1 species